CGGGUUUUCAAUGCCGGCAAAGGCGACUCAAACCUCCACAAUAACAAAAACAAAGUAAAUAUCCGGAGCACAGUGGGUUUAGGGAAAAAAUUGCAUAAUUUAGAACAAUCUAUGUAUUUAAUUGUCACUGACGGUGCUGAUGAGUUGGCAAGUAUUGGAGUAUUUUGUAUUUUCUUUGUCCCGAUAUGGGGGCGAAACAUCGAGAAGAAACUGACAAUUUCGAUCAGAUGCUCUAGUGAAUUGAAUCAACAAACAAAAUAAAUAAUCUGAAGCCAUUGGAUCCGAGAAAGAAUUGAAUAAUUCAACUGAAUAUAUUUAUGAUAUUCACAUUCAUGGUGCUUAUAGCUAAGAGAAAAACAAGAUAUCGGGCGAAACAUCUGACAGACUAAGCAUUUUCACGCAAUUCAGGGGUGAAUUGAAUGAACUACCAAAAUGAAUGAUCUGGGCUAGGUGGAUCAGAAAAAAAUUAAAUAAAAUUUUCUGGAAA